rnacentral:misc_RNA from 1 species
AUCCUGAUGUUAGCAGCUUUUAUCCAGUUCAUUUCAAAUCAGUCCACUUAGCCUUUUCUCUUAUUUUGAACUUUCUAAACUACUAUCCUUAUCUCCUUGCAUGGCUAACUUAAAGCUCUUUCUUAUUCCUCACUUUCCUUGUACAUGUUCCAGAGACUUAUAAUCUCCUUUGGUUGCUUAUGUUUCGCAUAAUUUUGAAUCAAUGAAGAAUGAAAAAAAAGGGGCUUUUUCAAUCCAUAAUUUGGUCUGUACUGUGGCUGUGGAUUUGCAAGUGUGCAUACUUCCACUUUCGUUUGGUCGUGGUCUAGACUUUCUUUUCCUCUUCAAUCUUUGGAACCUAAAAUGUUGCAUGUACUGAACCAGCUUAGGAAUUUCAACAGACAUUCAUGGAUAUGCCAUGUGAUAAUGAUGAUUAUAUGUUUAGCUUUCGAGUAUUAAUAUGUUUUGUGGUGGUGGAAAGAAAACAAGUUGCAAUAAUGGUUUUCUAAAAGAAGAAAUUGAUUGUUGGUGGAAUUGUGGCUUGGAAACAAAAAAAAAAAAUUUUGGUUUGGUUGUAUUCAGCUUGUUCUUCCACUGUGUUUGAGGAAUUUCUGACACUUUUGAUCUAUUGAAUCUUUUGUAAGCUUA